GUCACCAUCAGUGAAAGACAAAGACAGAGUUUAUUGAAGGACAGUGAGAAGAUGAGUGAUCCAGAACCCUGCAGAAUUAAACAGGAAGAGACUGAGGAACAAAUAGAUGUGAUGGUGAAAGUAGAGAGUGAAGUACUGAGUGAAGAUGAGGAGAAACAUCAUGUCAGUAAAGAAAGUCCUCCCAUAAAGACUGAACAUAGUUUUAUAAUGAACAGCACAGCGGUAAAUGAUUUCGCAUGCACUCAGUGUGGAAAGAGCUUCAGCCACAAAGAUGAUCUCAACCUUCACAUGAAGAUCCACACUGGAGAGAAAUCAUAUCCCUGCGUUGCUUGUGGGAGGAGUUUUACACAUGUAUCAUCUCUACGUUUACACACAAAACGAAUUCACAGGUUUAAUGCGUCUCCAACAGUGGCGGAUGUAAUAUCUCAGCUCAAAAAUUUCUCAGAAUUGGACUUUCAAUCAAAACAUGAAGUAAUAAAGGAUGGACGACCAAUGCCGGAGCUUAAGGACCUGCUUCAAACGACGGGACAGAAGAUAACUCGAUCCUUUCAAAGGGAUUGGUACGACCGAAAAGACUGGCUGUGUGGCUGUGCCACAAGAAACCGCCUUUUCUGUUAUCCCUGUCUUUUGUUCUCAGCCUGUGACAAUGUAUGGACUGACACAGGAUUUUGUGACUUAAAAAAUCUACCAAGAAGUCUCAGCAAACACGAAAGCUCAGCUACUCACAUUCAAAGCCAAAUCGCUUUAAAAACUUUUGGAAGUUCGCAGAUAGACUUGGCCUUAAACGAACAGCAUAGGCUAAACAUCAGCAUUCACAAUGCUAAGGUGAAGGAAAAUCGAGAGGUUUUAAAAGAUCUUAUUAACGCAACCUGCUUCUUAGCCAAACAGCAAUUGGCGUUUCACUGUAACGACGACAGUGCAAGCUCUUCUAAUCGUGGGAAUUAUGUUGAACUAUUGCAUGCUUUUGCUGAGAAAGAUGAGAGGCUUGCAAGACACUUAAAGACAUCUACUCUAUUUUCUGGCUCAUCAAACAGGAUACAGAAUGAUUUAAUUGAAGCAAUGAGUGAGGUGAUCAGAAGUGACAUCAAAAAGGACAUCGAUGCAGCACCAUUUGUUGCUGUGGAAGUGGAUGAGACAACGGAUGCCACUAACAAAUCCCAGCUCUCUGUCAUUUUGCGUUAUGUGGCUAAAAGUGAGGCGGCCUGUGAAGUGAGGGAGGCCUUUCUGGGAUUUGAUGAUGUUAGUGAUGACAGAAGCGCCUCUGCUGUAGCCCAGUAUGUCUUGGGAGUGUUGGAGAGAUACAAGUGUGUUGAAAAGCUGGUGGCUCAGACCUACGACGGAGCGUCUGUAAUGUCAUCAGAGCUUACUGAACUGCAAGUGAAGAUUAAAGAGAAGGUGCCUCAAGCCAUGUUUACCCAUUGUUACGCACAUAAACUGAAUGUAGUGCUGCAGAAUUCAGCAAAGAGCAUGCCCGAGUGUAGAGCCUUUUUUAAAGCAAUUGAAGGUCUAGGAACGUUUUUCAACAAGUGCACGAAGCGCACCCAGUUACUGGAUGAUGUUGUGAAACGCCGUUUACCAAGAGCAGCGCCCACAAGAUGGAGCUCAAAGUCUAGACUGUUGCAAACUAUAAGCAUGUACCAAUCUGACCUGCUCGCUGUAUUCCAUAUUAUGAUUGAAAAUCCAGACAGCUGGGAUAUUGACACUGUAAUUAUGGCCUCCGGAUAUGAGCGGUGGCUGUCAAAGGCGUCAACAUGCUUUCUCAUCAUGGCAUAUGAUGGAAUCUUCAAUGAAACAGAUGCACUCUUCAGAGUACUGCAAAACAAAGCCAUGGACAAUGGGUUGUGCUGUGCACGAAUACACGACACAAUUGGAAUUGUAGAAGGCCAGAGGCAGGAAUUUGAGCGUUUCUACGAGCGGUUUGAGCAGAAAUGCUCCUCACUUGGUCUGACAGAUAGUGUCCGAAGUCCACAGCCGGUCAGAGAAGAGCGGAAACAAUUGUUUAGUAACAUUCUGGACAACGUUACUUCUCAGCUGAAAGCCAGGUUUGAUCAUUUUAGUGAUCUAGCUUUCCUUGGUUUGGUCGAUUGUACAAGAUUUAAGGAAAUGUCAAAACAUUUCGAUGACACCAAACUGCAGAGCUUGUCCAAAUAUGCCAGGUUUUUUGACUUUGUCAGACUAAAGGCUGAUCUCAUCGGACUGUAUAGCUCACAAACAGUGAGGAAUGAAUGCAAAUCCCCUGUACAGCUCCUCAGCUUUUUGACCCAGAAGAACCUGACACAGGCUGUUCCUGAAGCCACCAAAUUACUCCAGCUGGCCCUCACUAUACCUGCUACUACAGUGUCUGUGGAAAGGUCAUCCUCUGCUCUGAAAAGACUCAAAAGCUACAGUCGCAAUUGCACUGCUCAAGGACAACUUUCAUCCCUGGCACUCCUCUCCAUCGAGACUGAGAGACUUCUGAAACUAAAAGAAGAUAAAGAAGACUUUUACGCCAAAGUCACAGAGAUUUUUAUCCAGAAGGAGCGGCGUAUGGACUUCAUUUACAAGUAAUGGACGUCCUGGGAUUUUUAAUGACCGCAGAGAGUCAGGACCUCUGACAGUAUGGUGUCCCCAUCAAUAUACAGAGGCGUGAGGACCCACACAGACCACAGGUUGAGUGCCCCCAGCAGGUCUCACUAAUGGCUCAUUUCCACUGACUGGUCUGAUGAAGACUUUUAUGUGCUGUUUUUUUGUACAAAGAGUUUCGCAAGUCCACACAAUUUAAGCUGACAUGAGACGAGUCACACUGGAAAGAAGAAACUUUACAAGUGUUCAUACUGCGGCAAGAGAUUCAGUGAGUUACAACGCCUGAAAAUACACCAGAGGAUUCAUUAAUAUACAUGUUCUGUGUGUGGAAAGAGUGUUGCACAGCAAAAUUUAACAAGAUCCACACUGGUGUGACAGAGUUUGUGUUCUCUGCGUGUAAGAAGACUUUUAAUAGAGCCAGAGACUUUAGAGACUUCACACAUGUGGGAGGAGGUUCGACUUGUUAUCAAACCUUACCGAACACAUGCUGACGCACACUGGAAAGAAAACAACACAAAUGUGAUCAAUGCAGCAAAACAUUUUUGAGAGUGUCAGAGCUGAAGAGUCAUCUUAGACUUCAUACACUUUAAGGCUGGUGCACACAUUUUUCCUGAGAUAUUUCUCAACACAGCAUGGUGUCAGCCGAAGGGCAUUUUUUUUUUGGGAAAUCCACCACCAUAACCCAAUUCUUAAUUUAGUCACUUAUGUCCGCCCCAGACUCAUGGCAUAAUACACUCUUAUUUAUACUUCUGCUUUGAGUGAUCGCUGUACUCCAUGGUGCAGGUCUUGCAUAUAGCCGUGCAUUUAUACUUGUGUGAUUUGUUUGUGUUACUCUGACAAUAACACUUCCGAAACGUUGGCAGGCAGUGGGGUUUCUGUAUUCCUAUGUAAUGUUGUCUUGAUACUGAAUUUCGGUACUGAAAUUUUAAAAACGUCCAUUUCCCGCUAACAUUUGAGCGCGUUCUUAAACUCCGCUGAUUUGCCAUCGUUGCUUACUAAAUUAUCAUGCAGUAUAACAAUAAACUCCGGUCAAAAAACUGUGUUGCUUCAUCUUUUUGCUGCUUUCGUAUCAAUAUAACUUAAAACAGUCCAAUAAAGAUGUAAUGGUGAAAUAUCGAAUGCACACAACUAAAUAUAUCAACAUGUGUUAACUGUACAUGAAUUUGAGCACUAAGUUACAUAAAAUACAACCAGUGUCACAAUGCCAACUUCAUAUGAAACGGUUAGAAAUGCCACAGGGUUGCCGGUUUAAUUGUUUUGCCUUAGUUCAGUUUUGUUUAUUCAUUCAUUCAUUCAUUUUCUUUCGGCUAAAGGCUGUUAUAUACUUCUGCGUCAAGUGCAUGCAUAUGCUCGAGCUGGAGGUGGACCGUCACGGAAGCGCACCUCUUAAAAAAUGUAACUAUGCGUCGUUGCGACGUGUAGUUCGAAUUUUUAUUUUAUUUUUUUUUUUUUGAGAGUUGCACGUCAGCGUCGCAAGCUCUGUGAUUAGCGUGUCACAAGCUCUGUUAUUGGUCGGCUUAGUAGCGCUGGCGAGUGUGGACAGGACCGAGAGCUGUGCGAACCCGUUGGAGCAAGUGUUUACAAAUGUCAAGUCCUGUAAAGAAGCUCCAGAUGGAAAGUUUUGUUUUGUGUUUACCUUAUGAUUAAAGUUGUUGCACGUCCGCCAGUUCCUGCCUCAAAAUGGGCAAGUUUCAGCUGCUUGUACAUUUAAGGUAGCAUUCAGAAAAAACAAAACACCUGCAAAGAAACUCGACACAGAGGAACAUAAACUCCUCACUGCCAGCUAGUGUUUCAGAAGUGUUAUUGCAGAGGAAUACAAACAGCACACAGAAGUAUAAAUGCACGUCUACGCGCAAGGCAUGCGCUGUGGGUCACGCCAAUCACUUGACGCAAAAAUAUAAACCAGGCUUUAUUCCCUUUAGUCCCUUUAUUCAUCAGGGGUCAAUCGAUACCGUCAAAGGCACCUGCGUUAGCACCCAAAAGGCAGAGGAAGAUGCUAACCAUCGCACAAAAAGUUGGACUUCUGGACAUGAUAAAGGAACAUAGAAGUUACACAGCUAAAGGGCACCAUUACUCAAUAAAUAAGUCUUCUGUUCGUAGCAUAAAGAAGGAGCGACUUAUUUUUCUACGAAAGUUUGAACUUUGAGAGUGUUUAAAUGAGUAAGAAAAGUGUAAAAAUGUUAAUGCCUGUCUGAAAAAGUGUACAAGUACACUGUAGUGCAGUGAGGCUUUUUAUAGCCUUAAAACAUCUAUAAUAAUUAAGAAAUAAAGCGGACUACUUUGCGAA